UUUUAGGUGAAUAUGUAUGGAGUUACCUUUGUGUCUUUUUUAUUCAAUCAAACAUACUGCGUUUGAGAGUAAAUCUAAUUAUUUUGUAAUAAAAUAAAAUAAAAGAGUGCAAAAAAGUCUUCUAAAGGCUCAAAAAUAAAGAAGUUGAUAA